CUCAAAGAUGAUGAGGUUAAUAGGUUCGAGGCGGAAGCAUGGAGACAUGUGGAGCUGACGAAUACUAAUCGAUCGAAGACUUAAUCAAA
rnacentral:rRNA from 1 species